GAUGAACGCUGGCGGCGUGCCUAAUACAUGCAAGUCGAACGGACGGACGAGAAUCUUGCGUCGUUGAUGUUAGGGGCGGACGGGAGUGUAACACGUGUAUAACCCACCUAUCAGACUGGGAAAAUCUCGGGAAACCGGAUCUUACAGCGGAGAAUAUCUUGAUGCGCGGUGGGCAAAAGUGAAAUACGGCCUUGGGGUCACUUAUAGAUGGAUCCGGGCUGCAUUAGCUAGUUGGUAAGGUAAAGGCCUACCAAGGCAAGGAUGCAUAGACGAGGUCAGAGAGUGAUAGCCGACAUGGGAACGGAGACGCGGUCCAGACUCCUACGAGAGGCCGCAGUAGGGAAUCUUCCGCAGUGGUCGAAAGCAUGACGGAGCAACGCCACGUGUGUGAUGAAGGUCUUGGGUUCGUAAAGCUGUGUUAUUAGGGAAGAACAUAUGUGUAAUUAAAUGAGGACAUCUUGACGGUACCUGAUCAGAAAGCCACGGCUAACUACGUG
rnacentral:rRNA from 1 species